AGCACUCAUGCUAAAACUUGGAACUUAAUAUGCUUACCACAUUAGUUACUCAUUCCACAACAUCAAAAACAUAUCACAUACACAUUUCAAAAUUCUUAUAAACCAUUACAGUCAUGACCAAAUGGUACUAUUACAUGCCAUAUAAGCCAAUUUAAAUUCAAAAUAUACUAAAGAGGUCAUCAGAUAGUGUGAUUCUUCGUGUUGAUCCAAUCUCCCGAUUUCCACAAAACGUAAUUUACAAAGAAAAAGACAAGACACGAGUAAGCUUACAUAAAACUUAGUAAGUUUGUUGAUUAACGAUAAAUCUUACCGAAUCAAACAUAACAAUUCAAAUAAAAAUAUUAAUGAAUAAAGUUCCUGUCAACAAAGUUAUUAACAGAAUUCCUGUCAAUCAUAGCUCACAACAGGUGAGUAGUGCUCAACAAUAGUACAAAUUAUUUAUCUACAUUUCAAUAACAUUCAGAGAUCAAUAAAAUGAUGCCGAUGAAAAAUAUACGGAUACGAGUACACGGUUAACCAUCCAAACACAACAGGCACUCAUAUAAGCCAGACCAACCGAUAACAAGUGGCUAGCCUGUAGGCCAACAUUCGCCCCUGUAACACACCAGAAACAUUGUAAUAUAACUCGAUAGUCCACAAAAAAUGUAGGACCUUGUUAUAUUCAGUGAACAGAGGAUAUAUAGAAAUUUUUGUCAUUUCUCAUAUCAAUCUCAUACCACGCGCAAAAUAGCCUACUGGCAUGCCAAUCGUACUCUAUCCUAUAUUCAUCCGACUUAGGGUUUUUAAACAAAAACAAUGCUAUCGUUUCAUUCCAUCAGUUCUCAUUUACAAGACAACAUUUGUAUUAAUCAACAUUCAAAAAUUGAAUUUCAUCAAAUAGCAUUUUAAAAAUGUAUUAGAAUUAAACCAAUUGAACUUACCUGACUAAACUGCAGCACAACAAGAUACAGGGACUAUUCUGCAAUUUUCUCUUUUUUAGGAUUUUUAGCUCGUUCUUGAUCUAGAAUAAUAACUUCAUUCAAUUAACUAAUUCCACAAAAAAAUUAAAUUAUUUUAUGCAACUAAGUCCUUUCUUUACUAUUUUACAAAAUUACCCUCAAUAUUUUACUUUUAUGCAAUUUAGUCCCUAAAACCAAAACACACAAUUAGACCAAUUUUAACUAGAACCCAACCUAGCCGAAACAUUUAAGCCUUACUAUAGCUCAUGUUUUCAUUUUAUUCACAUCAAGUCCUUGUAAUUUUAUCACUUUAACAUUUUAGUCCUUUAACAAUAAAAUCACCAAAAACUACUUUACAAAAUAGUCCUUCCAACAACCAAACUCAAUAAUAUUCCAUAAAACUUAAAGAACCACUCAAAAUCAUCAAUGGAAUAAUCCAAAACAUUUGAUAAUUUUACAAAUUAGUCACUGGGUUAGCUAGAUUAGGCCAAAUAUCUCAUGGUUUAACCGUGGCCACUGGAUUUCAACCCACUCCAACCAUUCCCAACGAUAGUUAUGACUUGGAUUUGGCUACUAGGCCUUCCUGGAUACUUGUAUAACAAUAAGAUUCUCAAGGAAAUAGGCCGAUUAUAGGGAAGGUGGCGAAGCUUGAUUUUAACACUCACAAAAGGUUAAGGGGACAGUUUGCUCGAAUGGCAAUAUUUGUAAAUCUGGAUAAGCCUUUAAUUUCUCAGAUUUUGGUUAACGGUAAACCAUAGAAAAUUGAGUAUGAAUCCUUACCAACUAUUUAUUUCUCAUACGGGUGGUACUGUCAUGUUAAGGAUUUGUGUUUGUUCUCGGUCGGUGACAAGGGGAACGCCGGAGUUAAUGAUGGUUCUAUGGCAACUGGUUCGACAAUUGGAGAUUCGGUGGAAGACGUGACUUAGUUUGGUCCAUGGAUGAUUGUUGAAAGGCGUCCUUGCUGGAAUCUCAAGGAACCUCAAAAGCUAGCGACUCAAAUUUCAGAAAAAGAUGAAGCUGGGUCAUGAUUCCAAGCAUUAAUUUCAAGAGGUAACAAAAAUGGGAAAGAUGAGGGUGAGGGGUCUGAUUUAUCGAGGAUUCAAUUUAAAAAAAAUGGAUUUUCUAAAUAUGCUUAAACGAGAUGCUAUAAAAGGGAGAGGGGCUAAGGUUGUAGGGUCGACUAAUG
rnacentral:lncRNA from 1 species